UGCAUCCCACAUUUAAAUCAAAAGAAAUCUCAAUUCUAAAAAUCAAUUUUUUAGGGCUUCUUUUGCUUAACUGCCGAACCACCAUGAUUUUGGUGAUCACCAGCAAGCAUGCAGUACCCAAUCUCACUGUUGAAGAAGCUCGGCCAGGCUUUAAAGGAUUUGGGAUGGCCGUACAGAGGAGAUGACCCCGGGUGACAUGGAGGCCGAGCGCGAGGGUCUCUCGUGUAAAGCUGAUCCUCUGGUUUAUUCCAGAAUAUUCUAGCAUUCUCUAGCUGCUAACAUUAUUUUUGGGUGUAUUGGUCUUGGGGUAAUGGGUUAUUUGGGCUAAUUUUUAUUGGGUUUAGGGAUUUGGAAUUUGGGUAUCUGUUCAAUUGGGUCAGACUUUAUGUAACCGGGUUAAGGGUUUUGGGGUAUUUGGUUAGAAAAUGUAUUUGGGCUACUUUUUUUUUUGAUGGUAUGUAAAAUUUGGACAUUCAUUAUAAA